AACGACUCUCGGCAACGGAUAUCUCGGCUCUCGCAUCGAUGAAGAACGUAGCGAAAUGCGAUACUUGGUGUGAAUUGCAGAAUCCCGUGAACCAUCGAGUUUUUGAACGCAAGUUGCGCYCCAAGCCUUCGGGCCGAGGGCACGCUUGCCUGGGCGUCACGC
rnacentral:rRNA from 1 species